CUUUUUAAUAACAACAAGACUUUCUGUACACGAAUAAAAUUUAUUUUGGUGAGUGAAUCAGUUCACUGCAAUAUUGAAGAAAGUAGAAUUCAAUACAUAACGUGGAGGGACAUUCGUUUCACUUUCUUCAUCAAUAUACAGCCAAUUUCCAUUUUCUUCUUUGUCAGUACUUCCUGUAUACAAAGGAAGUUUGUGUACAUCUUCAUGAUGCCCAGCCCAAGUUUUAAAGUAGUCGGACGUAGCCGUUAAGCCACUUCGGAGGUCAACAUCAACCCAGAAAAAUAUUUGCUUUGUCUGUUUCAAAACACCAUAUAUAGACACGCGGUCUUAAUUUACCAUACCAUAUAAGACAUUUUAUUUUGCUAUCAGUUGAGUAUUUGUGAGAAGAAGAGUUAAGAACGCAUCACACGACGAACGCGAAAGUCGUUUUUUUAUAAUAUCCAAAAUUGAUUGUAAGAAGGCCAGCAGACGACAAAGAAGUUAGUCUUGGAGACAGGUGGAACCCGGCGUACAAUUCCUUAAAUAAAAUCAAUUUCUGAGGUCACGCUAUGGUACCUGUACAAUAUGUUUAUAGAUACGUUGUUUUUAUCUGUUUGUUGAAUAUAUAUCCAGUGCCAGUGCCAGUGGUCAAAGCUAGUGACAAUUCUAUCAAAAUGUGUAAUUCGACUAAAACAGAUCAAAUAAAUUGCACAAGGAAUUCCUCUGUUUCGCAAAAUAAUACAAAUGUAAGUAUUAUAUAAAAAGUAUUAUAAGUCAUGAAAAUAAACUUUGUUGACUGCAAAGAGAAAUGCAUUCAAAGAAAUACAUACAAGCUUGCGAGAAAAACGUAAACGCGUUUGCUCUUUUGUAUUACUCAACAACGUUACAUACAGUGAUUUUAUCAUGAAAGUUGACAUUUUGAGAAUAAGCAAAAUUAUUAUGUGCAGUUCAUUUAAUUAGCAUUUUGUGGCUUCAUGGUAAGCUGUAAAGAUAAACAUUGCUAUCCAAAGUUAUUUGGCAAAAUCAAAUAAUCGUAUGAUAAAACAUGCAUAAAACGAUUUCACCAAUAUCUCCGAAUACAAACGAAAUUGACUUGAUAUUGUAAAUAUUCUAUGCAUAUUUACAAUAUCAAGUCAUUUUCACUUGCCUGCUUUCUUCAAGAGUUCAAGAGUACCAAGAAAAAGACAAUAUCUGCAUAUCUCUCAUGCAUAUCAAGAACUCAUUUUUUUAUAUGUACCGAGAUAUGAUAUUUUCAUCAAUAUCUUCUCUAUGUAAUGAACUAGGCAACUACAUGAUAUUCAACAUUGUUUGUUCAUCGUGAAAUUGGAAUUGUCAUAGAAACAGCAAAGCUUGUGUUGGUUGCCUUGAUAAGAACAAAACAUAAAAAUUACAACAUUCCUCAAAUUAUGUUUACUUUAUGUAGUGGCGUAAAAGUAAGCCCGUAUAUUUGGUCUUGCUAUGCGAAUAUAUCACAGUUCACACACAGUGGAAACUGAAAAAUCAGUUCCUACAAAAAUAAAUAAUGGCAAUGUUCUCAAACUCAUAUAUAAGACUAAAACUUAAAAGCUUAUGCAAAAGUCGAUGAUAUUAAAACGACAUCAUUUUAAGUUUGGUCAUCAUUUGCAACAUAAACAUAAGCAUAAGAAGAAUUGACAGUUGAUAAUCUUUUGCAGUUAUGCUCAUGUUUAUACUUUUGCCGAAAGUGAGAACCAGGAUUUGAGCGUUAUAAUUUAGUUCCUCGUCUAAAAGAACAAAUUUUGUUUUUAAAAUAUUGCAACAUAUAAUAAACAUAUAUUUAUGUAUUUAAUAAGAAACCGAAGAAAAGUUUCUCACUUCCUCAAGAAAUAUUAAUAACAACAAUGGUGAUCUCCACAGUUGGUGUCCUAACAAAUGGUCUUCUUAUUGUUGUUAUUGUGAAGGAUCCUUUAAACAAACUAAGACGACGACCGUGGAUUACUAUCUUAAGCUUAUCUAUAGCUGAUUUCACUGCAUCUUUGUCUCAAUUCAUGAUUGUUGGAUUGGGUAGAUUGUUCCAGGUCAAACCAUCAGAAGCUGUCAUUUAUUCUGUCCUUUUCUUUUGGAUGUUUGGGGCUGCGGGCUCAUUUUUUCACUUGACAUCACUCACAUGGCAAACUUACAUGAUUACGAUGUAUCCCAAAUACAGACAACAAAUGUUAUCUACGAAGAAAAUUUACAUAUUAUGCGUCACAGUUUGGUUGAUUGCCAUUUGCAUGGCAUUUGCUGAAGUCACAUCACUUUACAUAAAAAAAUUUGACCAGCUUAUGUAUAUCUAUAUCACGGUAUAUGCUGUCUUGGAAAUCGCUGUUUUACUUCAAAUCAUAUUGAAGUGUUUCAUACUUAAGGUUGUAUUGCAAAGUCGACAAGACACUAAAGUAAAUGCUGAACAGCACAACACUAAACACCUUGAAAUUGUGAAGACAAUCAUUGUGCUGAAUGUCUUAUUACUGGUAACUGCAUUUCCUUAUUUUGUCGCCAAACAAGUGGAGUUUAUUCAAAGGCUAGGGAAACUACAAGGUGAAUUGGCUGGACGUUUUUCAUAUUACUAUAAGCCAGUGGCCAUGAUGAAUUUUGCUGUCAAUCCAAUUGUGUAUGCACUGAGGCUUCCAGAUUAUCGAAACAGUAUGAAGGCGUUGUUUAGAAAGAAGAAUACUGUUUUUACUCCAACAUCCCAGUCAACAACCUUUUCCUUCCGGUCCACCAAUGAGACAUUUGCGAUGUAACUAAAUUCAUCGUUCAUAACUUUAUGAUUAAUAUAUAAAUUUUUUAUUUGGGUAUACUAUAGGUAAUAUUAGCAUAGUUUUAAAGAGAAGAUGAAAAAAAAAGAAACUAUCAUGAUUUGUAGCGAGAUUUAAACUGACUAAAAUUUACAGGCAACUUUUUGAAUUUCUUUUCAUGAGAAAGAUCAGGAGUGUAAUACUUUUUUAACGGUACAUAUCAUUAAUCAAAUAAACCUUGAACUUA